rnacentral:rRNA from 1 species
GACGAACGCUGGCGGCGUGCUUAACACAUGCAAGUCGAACGGACCCUUUGGGGUUAGUGGCGAACGGGUGAGUAACACGUGGGUGUUCUGCCCUGCACUUUGGGAUAAGCCUGGGAAACUGGGUCUAAUACCGGAUAGGACUACGCACUGCAUGGUGUGUGGUGGAAAGCUUUUGCGGUGUGGGAUGGGCCCGCGGCCUAUCAGCUUGUUGGUGGGGUGAUGGCCUACCAAGGCGACGACGGGUAGCCGGCCUGAGAGGGUGACCGGCCACACUGGGACUGAGAUACGGCCCAGACUCCUACGGGAGGCAGCAGUGGGGAAUAUUGCACAAUGGGCGCAAGCCUGAUGCAGCGACGCCGCGUGAGGGAUGACGGCCUUCGGGUUGUAAACCUCUUUCGCCAGGGACGAAGCGCAAGUGACGGUACCUGGAGAAGAAGGACCGGCCAACUACGUGCCAGCAGCCGCGGUAAUACGUAGGGUCCGAGCGUUGUCCGGAAUUACUGGGCGUAAAGAGCUCGUAGGUGGUUUGUCGCGUUGUUCGUGAAAACUCACAGCUUAACUGUGGGCGUGCGGGCGAUACGGGCAGACUGGAGUACUGCAGGGGAGACUGGAAUUCCUGGUGUAGCGGUGGAAUGCGCAGAUAUCAGGAGGAACACCGGUGGCGAAGGCGGGUCUCUGGGCAGUAACUGACGCUGAGGAGCGAAAGCGUGGGGAGCGAACAGGAUUAGAUACCCUGGUAGUCCACGCCGUAAACGGUGGGUACUAGGUGUGGGUUUCCUUCCUUGGGAUCCGUGCCGUAGCUAACGCAUUAAGUACCCCGCCUGGGGAGUACGGCCGCAAGGCUAAAACUCAAAGGAAUUGACGGGGGCCCGCACAAGCGGCGGAGCAUGUGGAUUAAUUCGAUGCAACGCGAAGAACCUUACCUGGGUUUGACAUGCACAGGACGCCGGCAGAGAUGUCGGUUCCCUUGUGGCCUGUGUGCAGGUGGUGCAUGGCUGUCGUCAGCUCGUGUCGUGAGAUGUUGGGUUAAGUCCCGCAACGAGCGCAACCCUUGUCUCAUGUUGCCAGCACGUUAUGGUGGGGACUCGUGAGAGACUGCCGGGGUCAACUCGGAGGAAGGUGGGGAUGACGUCAAGUCAUCAUGCCCCUUAUGUCCAGGGCUUCACACAUGCUACAAUGGCCGGUACAAAGGGCUGCGAUGCCGUGAGGUGGAGCGAAUCCUUUCAAAGCCGGUCUCAGUUCGGAUCGGGGUCUGCAACUCGACCCCGUGAAGUCGGAGUCGCUAGUAAUCGCAGAUCAGCAACGCUGCGGUGAAUACGUUCCCGGGCCU